GACGAACGCUGGCGGCGUGCUUAACACAUGCAAGUCGAACGGUGAAGCGCCUUCCUUUUUGGUGGGUGUGGAUGAGUGGCGAACGGGUGAGUAACACGUGAGUAACCUGCCCCCUUCUUCUGGAUAACCGCAUGAAAGUGUGGCUAAUACGGGAUAUUCUGGGUCUGUCGCAUGAUGGGUCUGGGAAAGAUAUUGUUUCGGUGGGGGAUGGGCUCGCGGCCUAUCAGCUUGUUGGUGGGGUGAUGGCCUACCAAGGCGGUGACGGGUAGCCGGCCUGAGAGGGUGGGCGGUCACACUGGGACUGAGACACGGCCCAGACUCCUACGGGAGGCAGCAGUGGGGAAUAUUGCACAAUGGGCGCAAGCCUGAUGCAGCGACGCCGCGUGAGGGAUGGAGGCCUUCGGGUUGUGAACCUCUUUCGCCAGUGAAGCAGGCCUGCCUCGUUUGUGGGUGGGUUGACGGUAGCUGGAUAAGAAGCGCCGGCUAACUACGUG
rnacentral:rRNA from 1 species